rnacentral:lncRNA from 1 species
AGGACCAUCACGCCAGCGUAGGGACGACUCUGAGGAGACCACCGACGGGACUACGGAUGAGGAUUAGUCCUCAUAUUUCUAUCCCUAUCUACUUAUGUUUUAUUUUGCUCUCAUACUAUUAGGAUCUCUUUUCGGAUUUAUUCUAUUAUGUUAUGACUUGAGUUUAUCUAUUGCUGAUCUUUCAUGUGUUUGGAUUGUCUAACAGAGCUAAACUCGCUUACUAAUACUCAUAUUGUGAUGAGUUGGACCCUUCAACACGUUGCAGCCAGCACUGAAAUUUUCUGUCUCCACGUCAUCGAUCGACAAAUAGGUGCUUAUGUCGAUCGACGCUCGAGACA